GAUGAACGCUGGCGGCAGGCUUAACACAUGCAAGUCGAGCGGAGCGAGGGUGCUUGCACCUUAGCUUAGCGGCGGACGGGUGAGUAAUGCUUAGGAAUCUGCCUAUUAGUGGGGGACAACAUUCCGAAAGGAAUGCUAAUACCGCAUACGCCCUACGGGGGAAAGCAGGGGAUCUUCGGACCUUGCGCUAAUAGAUGAGCCUAAGUCGGGUUAGCUAGUUGGUGGGGUAAAGGCCUACCAAGGCGACGAUCUGUAGCGGGUCUGAGAGGAUGAUCCGCCACACUGGGACUGAGACACGGCCCAGACUCCUACGGGAGGCAGCAGUGGGGAAUAUUGGACAAUGGGCGGAAGCCUGAUCCAGCCAUGCCGCGUGUGUGAAGAAGGCCUUUUGGUUGUAAAGCACUUUAAGCGAGGAGGAGGCUACUUAGAUUAAUACUCUGGGAUAGUGGACGUUACUCGCAGAAUAAGCACCGGCUAACUCUGUGCCAGCAGCCGCCGUAA
rnacentral:rRNA from 1 species